rnacentral:rRNA from 2 species
UACGAAGGGGGCUAGCGUUGUUCGGAAUUACUGGGCGUAAAGCGCGCGCAGGCGGCCAUUCAAGUCAGGGGUGAAAGCCCAGAGCUCAACUCUGGAACUGCCCUUGAAACUGUAUGGCUUGAGUAUGAGAGAGGUGAGUGGAAUUCCCAGUGUAGAGGUGAAAUUCGUAGAUAUUGGGAAGAACACCGGUGGCGAAGGCGGCUCACUGGCUCAUUACUGACGCUCAGGCGCGACAGCGUGGGGAUCAAACAGG